ACCAGCCCUCCGGAUCCCUGGGUUCAACCACAUUCUCUUGCCAUUGUUCCCUAACAACUGUUUACACAGCACCCAUGUGGUGCUCGGGCUCACAAGCAAUCUAGAAAUGGCUGGAAGAAUCCGGGAUGACGUAGAAUUAUAGUCAGUGAGAGAGAGAGAGAGACAGAGAGAAAGACAGUUGUCACUGCUUUUUGCAAUGACAGAAGGAAUGCCCAAAAGGCAAAGGUUGGCUGGCCCUCUCCUCUGCCCCUCCCCAAGGCCACUGACUCGGCUCCUGACACAAACGUCCAUACCGCAGGUUUGUCCACACUCACAUGGAGGGGAUUUGUGCCGUCAUUUAUCUUUGUGAAAAUGGGGUCUGGGCUGGCGCCGUGGCUCACUAGGCUAAUCCUCCGCCUGCAGCGCCGGCACCCCGGGUUCUAGUCCCGGUUGGGGCACUGGAUUCUGUCCCGGUUGCUCCUCUUCCAGUCCAGCUCUCUGCUGUGGCCCAGGAGUGCAGUGGAGGAUGGCCCUAGUGCUUGGGCCCUGCACCUGCAUAGGAGACCAGGUGGGGGCACCUGGCUUCUGGCUUCAGAAUCGGCGCAGCGCUCAGGCUGUAGCAGCCAUUUGGGGGUGAACCAAUGGAAAGGAAGACCUUUCUGUCUCUCUCUCUCUCUCUCACUGUCUAAAUCUGCCUGUCAAAAAAGAAGAAGAAGAAGAAGAAGAAGAAGAAGAAGAAGAAGAAGAAGAAGAAGAAGAAGAAGAAGAAGAAGAAGAAGAAGAAGAAAAUUAGGUCAAUAUCAGUUUCUGGGGGCUGUUGUAACAAAGUCCACUGACUGGGGCCUUAAACAAUGUAUUCUCUCUGCCUCCUAGUGCCCCCCAGCCGCUCCCCUGUCUUUUGUCCUCCUCCUGCCCCCAGAAGGUGUGGAGCAAACUCCAUCCUCAAAGGGGUUUAACCCUCUCCGAGUUUUCUGUUAAGUGUGUGGUUGUAUUAAGCAAUUAGUGACUGUAGGCCUGAAGCUUUGUUCUCCAGACUCUGCCAAGAGUCCCCGGGCCAAGGCCGGCGCUGCGGCUCACUAGGCUAAUCCUCCGCCUGUGGUGCCGGCACACCAGGUUCUAGUCCCGGUUGGGGCGCCGGAUUCUGUCCCGGUUGCCCCUCUUCCAGGCCAGCUCUCUGCUGUGGCCUGGGAGUGCAGUGGAGGAUGGCCCAAGUGCUUGGGCCCUGCACCCCAUGGGAGACCAGGAUAAGUACCUGGCUCCUGCCAUCGGAUCAGCACAGUGCGCUGGCCGCACUCUGCCUGUCAAAAAAAAAAAAAAAAAGAAGAAGAAGAAGAAGAAAUCGACACUCAAACAGUGGCAACCUGGGGAGUGGGGGCAGCUGGUAUCCAUUCCCUGUGGAGACCUGGAGCUGUACCUAGAAUCCUGUGGGGUUCAUCGGAUCCGUGCUGGAAGAUCUCCCUCCACCUAGUGAGAAGAACACAUCAGGAGGGUUGUGUUCCUUUGCCACAUGGGUACUGGCCUAAAACACAUGCACACAUGUACACGUUUCUGCACAUGCCCUUUUGUGCAUAGUACUCACACAUCCAUACACACAUGCACACACACUAAAAGCUGCUAGCUCCAAAUGACUACAGCAGCUCAACCGAAAGUGUGGGGCGUGUUUCAGAGAGACCAGACUUGUUCCCACCAGAACCGACAGGGGGGCAUUGAGCCAGUUGCCCCAACUUUCUAAGGCUGCCUUAGUAGGGUCUCUUAAGAACUCAGCAAGCCAGGACAAGUGAUCUUGCAAAAGGAAUUUUACAGCAUUUUUUAAAAGAUACCUUUUCCUGUAAUGCUGUCCGUUUAAGAAAAACCCGGGGCUUACCUUCAAAUUCACCAAGGCUCAGCGCUAAGGACUUCAGGAGAGAUUUGCCACUCGUCAGAGAAGUGGCCUGAAUCCCGGUGGUUAGAGCUGAUAGAUUUAUCAAAGCUCACUCGCCGGCUCCCAAGCAGGAGCGGAGAAGCCAGGAGAAAAGAUGAGGAGAGGUUUGGGAGAAUUAGCUGAGGACACAGAGCCACACGGUAGAAAAGUGGGCCAAGGUACGGGCUUACCAAAGAAAUCUUCAGGGAGGGAAGUCCCUCUAGUUAUCAAGCGAAGGCACACCUGUUUCUACCAAAGCAGCCAGCCCGGGCGCCCGCACAGCCCAGCAGCCGUCACCACGGUAUUCCGAGAUGAGCAGCGUCGCGGAUGGGCUUCUGCCCACGGCCGCCCCUGAGGCCUGGACACGAUGGUGAAGGCUCCUGGGGAGGCUGCCUCCCCCUGCCUGGACUCCAGCACAAGAAACUAAAAUCUCACCCGACGGUCCUCGCCGCCGACCUCCCAAGGAGACCCCUUGUGGGUGGAGAGCCGUCCCUGGGACAGCAGCGACGGGGACGGCUUUCAACCCUCUCUCCCCUGGCUGCUGGCCUGGUUCUCUCGCUACAGGCACUGGGAACUCAUGGCUUACGCUGAACUCCCCCGCAGGUCUUUAAUAGCUGAUGCCUUGUGAUGGCACGACUGGGCCACAGGCGCCGAGAGACUUGGUUAACCGUGCUUCUGUGAGAGCAUGAUUCCCACACCAGGCAGUGGGGUGAGCAAGACCCUCGGCCCUCCCCAGUGUGGGUGGGCCUCCUCCUCGUCCCUGAGAGCCUGUCUGGAACAACAGAGCCUGAGCAAGACACAGCUCACUCUCGCUGUCUGCCUGGUCAGGCUGGGACUUGAGGCUGCACCUGCUCUCACACGGGUCGUGGGCCAUCCUGGGUCUCAGGUCCUCCGGCUUGCACUGGAAUCACACCCCAGCUUCCCUGGGGGCCCAGCUUGCACAGGCAGAUUAUGGGACCUCUUGGCCUCUUUAUACAAGCAAGUGAAUUCCUUAUUGUAACUUUCUACACACACACACACACACACACAUACACACCCCACUAUAGCUUCAGCUUCUCUGGACAGCCCUGACAAACACAGUUGUGCAUUUCACAAUGAGGAAACCAAGUGGUUGAUGGGCUCUCCAGCAAUGGGGAAGCUGGGUCCACAUCUCUAACCUGGAGUCCAACCCUCUCUAGUUCUCUUCCCUGCAGAGAUGCCCACCACAGUUCUGCCUCCUGCCCAGGGUCUCUCCUCCCUGACCAGCUCCUCCUCCCACUUCUACCAACAGCACCACCUUCCUUUUGGGUUGAGAUCAUGGCAUCCAGAGGGCAACACCGUGGUGUAUUAGGUGAAGCCUCUGCCCGCAGCACUGGCAUCUCAUAUGAGCGCCGGUUCAAGUCCGGGCUGCUCCACUUCCCAUCCAGCUCCCUGCCUGGGAAAGCAGCAGAAGAUGGACCAAGUGUUCAGGCCCCUGCACCCACAUGGCAGACUUGGAAGAAGCUCCUGGCUCCUGGCUUCAGACUGCCCCAGCUCCAGCUGUUGCGGCCAUUUGGGGAGUGAUCUAGCAGAUGGAAGACCGAUCUCUCUCUCUCUCUCUCUCUCUCCCUCCGUCUGUCUGUCUGUCUGUCUGUAAAUCUGCCUCCAAAAUAAAUGAAUAAAUCUUUUUUUAAAAGUGUUUGCAAAUUAAAAUGAAACAUUAAAAGAAAAAGAAGAAAUCACGGCAUCUUCAGUCCCUUUUCCCCCGUCCCAGGCCCCAUCCUUGUGACUGUCCUGAGUACCCCCACCGGGCCUUCUUCUGCCACACUGCCUGCCACAUCCCACGGAGUCUCAGUCACUCUGGCAGGGGCAACUGAUUUGAGUGCUGUCAGGGUGGGAAGUGGAGGAUACAAACAGCCGUUACACCUGUCCUCACUCAUUCAUUAAUAAAGGCUACAACCCGUGUGAGGCUGGCACCUGCUGUGUGCAGGUCAUGUAUCCUCCGACUCCGGCUAACGGGCUCUUUUGUAUCAGAAAGUUAGUCCUAUAUUUUGGCUUCAUGCAGCUUUGGAGUAGCAGAACAUAGAAAUGGAAGACACACGGUCAUUAGGAUUUUCCAAGUCUGGAGCCAGAAAGAUACAGAUUUGUCUCCUACUCACUAGCAGUGUAAGUGUAGUCAAGUAACCUAAAUUCUCAAAACCACCAAUCUCAUUACCUAUACAUUGCGAUUAAUAGUAGAGAAGCCGUAAGGCUUGAAUGUUAAAGUGCAUAGUUGGCUAGCACAUACUAAGCGUUCUGUAAAUGUCAGCUAUUAUGACCGUUAGCAUCAUUGAGCCUUCAAAGGACUUGGGCUGCCAACAAAAGUUACCCCUCUUGUGAGUACUUGCCCACUUUAUCAGGUCAUACUUCAUUUUACCUACCUUAGUAACAGUAAGUUGCUGUUUUAGUAGGGGGCAUACCCACAUACCAGGGUCAGGGUCAGGGUCAGGGUCAGCUGCUGUCUAGGCAGAUGAGAUCACAAGCAUUAAGCUGAAUCCACCAAGAAAUACAAAAGCGUAGAACCACUGACAGCCCUGCUCUCCGCUGCUGGCCUUACCCAACUUGCCAGGCUCCAGAUGACAGUCUCGGGCACACCAGGGGGAGGAACUGCUCUUGGGCCCCCACCACACACUCCUCAGUGGGAGAAAAGGACCCAGCACAUCCAGAGUGCACAGAACCCUGAAUAAAACAAGAAAUGGGUCUCUUUUACAAUACUGCUUCCUCCAUAAACAGCUCAUCCUAAUAAAACCCCAGGACCACCAUGUAUCCAUGUAGAAAACCAUGGAGCACCUGCUACCUGCUCUGCAUGGCGGCCUCCGGCUGCAUCGUGCCGCAGUGAGAACAUGGUAAGUGUUUUAGCCUGGUGGCCCUGCAAUGAGAAACUCCAGUAUGACUUUAUCUUAAUUAUACCUGUACCAACUGGUAUCUUAAGCUACCAAGUUUGUGGACCUAGGAAGCUAACACAAAUUUGCAUAAGAAUCCCGGAGAGGAAGGCUUCCUGUGGUGGUACAGCAGGUUAGGCUGCCGCCUAUGAUGCCAGCACCCCUUAUGAGCCCCAGUUCAA